CCAGGAUGUUGGCUUAGAAGCAGCCACCAUUGAAAGAGUGCGUAAUAGCUCACUGGUCGAGUGACCCCGCGCCGAAAAUGUACCGGGGCUAAACAUAUUACCGAAACUGUGGAUGAACCUCUUUAGAGGUUCGUGGUAGGAGAGCGUUCUAAGGGCGGUGAAGUCAGACCGGAAGGACUGGUGGAGCGCUUAGAAGUGAGAAUGCCGGUAUGAGUAGCGAAAGAAGGGUGAGAAUCCCUUCCACCGAAUAUCUAAGGUUUCCUGAGGAAGGCUCGUCCGCUCAGGGUUAGUCGGGACCUAAGCCGAGGCCGAUAGGCGUAGGCGAUGGACAACAGGUAGAGAUUCCUGUACCAGUGCUAAUUGUUUAACCGAUGGGGUGACACAGAAGGAUAGGGAAUCGCACGAAUGGAAAUGUGCGUCCAAGCAGUGAGUGUGAGAAGUAGGCAAAUCCGCUUCUCGCGAAGCAUGAGCUGUGAUGGGGAAGGAAAUUAAGUACGGAAGUUCCUGAUUUCACGCUGUCAAGAAAAGCCUCUAGGAAGAGUAGUACUGCCCGUACCGCAAACCGACACAGGUAGAUGAGGAGAGAAUCCUAAGGUGAGCGAGAGAACUCUCGUUAAGGAACUCGGCAAAAUGACCCCGUAACUUCGGGAGAAGGGGUGCUCUAUUAGGGUGCAAGCCCGAGAGAGCCGCAGUGAAUAGGCCCAGGCGACUGUUUAGCAAAAACACAGGUCUCUGCAAAACCGUAAGGUGACGUAUAGGGGCUGACGCCUGCCCGGUGCUGGAAGGUUAAGAGGAGUGCUUAGCUUCGGCGAAGGUACGAAUUGAAGCCCCAGUAAACGGCGGCCGUAACUAUAACGGUCCUAAGGUAGCGAAAUUCCUUGUCGGGUAAGUUCCGACCCGCACGAAAGGCGCAACGAUCUGGGCACUGUCUCAACGAGAGACUCGGUGAAAUUAUAGUACCUGUGAAGAUGCAGGUUACCCGCGACAGGACGGAAAGACCCCGUGGAGCUUUACUGCAACCUGAUAUGGAAUGUUUGUACCGCUUGUACAGGAUAGGUAGGAGCCGAAGAGACGUGUGCGCUAGCAUACGAGGAGGCAAUGGUGGGAUACUACCCUGGCUGUAUGACCAUUCUAACCCGCCACGCUUAGCGCGUGGGGAGACAGUGUCAGGUGGGCAGUUUGACUGGGGCGGUCGCCUCCUAAAGAGUAACGGAGGCGCCCAAAGGUUCCCUCAGAAUGGAUGGAAAUCAUUCGCAGAGUGUAAAGGCACAAGGGAGCUUGACUGCGAGACUGACAAGUCGAGCAGGGACGAAAGUCGGGCUUAGUGAUCCGGUGGUUCCGCAUGGAAGGGCCAUCGCUCAACGGAUAAAAGCUACCCCGGGGAUAACAGGCUUAUCUCCCCCAAGAGUCCACAUCGACGGGGAGGUUUGGCACCUCGAUGUCGGCUCGUCGCAUCCUGGGGCUGUAGUCGGUCCCAAGGGUUGGGCUGUUCGCCCAUUAAAGCGGCACGCGAGCUGGGUUCAGAACGUCGUGAGACAGUUCGGUCCCUAUCCGUCGCGGGCGCAGGAAAUUUGAGAGGAGCUGUCCUUAGUACGAGAGGACCGGGAUGGACACACCGCUGGUGUACCAGUUGUUCCGCCAGGAGCAUCGCUGGGUAGCUAUGUGUGGCAGGGAUAAACGCUGAAAGCAUCUAAGCGUGAAGCCCCCCUCAAGAUGAGAUUUCCCAUUUCUUCGGAAAGUAAGAUCCCUGAAAGAUGAUCAGGUAGAUAGGUUUGGAGUGGAAGUGUAGCGAUACAUGGAGCGGACAAAUACUAAUCGAUCGAGGACUUAACCAAAA
rnacentral:rRNA from 1 species